rnacentral:rRNA from 1 species
ACGAAGGGUGCUAGCGUUGUUCGGAAUUACUGGGCGUAAAGGGUGCGUAGGCGGUCUUGUAAGUCAGAAGUGAAAGCCUUGGGCUUAACCCGAGAAUUGCUUUUGAAACUACAAGACUAGAGUAUAGGAGAGGUAAGUGGAAUUCCCAGUGUAGAGGUGAAAUUCGUAGAUAUUGGGAAGAACAUCAAUGGCGAAGGCAGCUUACUGGACUAUUACUGACGCUGAGGCACGAAAGCGUGGGGAGCAAACAG